UUGAAUAUCUCCAAAAAAGGAAACUCCACAACCUCUCUGGGCAGCCUGUUCCAGUGCUCUGUCACCCUCAUCUUAAAGAUGUUCUGCAUACUUGUAUAGAAUUUCUUGUGUUCUAGGUUUUUUGCCAUUGCUCCUGGUCCUACCACUACACAAUGCGGAAAAGAGUCUGGCCUUAUCCAACUGCACUGAUCAAUGUUUAUAAAUAACUAGAUCCCCCCUCUGUCUUAUCUGGGCUGAACAGAUCCAGGUCUCACAGCCUUUCUUCGUGUGGGAGAUGCUCCAGGCCCUUCAUCAUCUUUGUUGCCCUCUACUGGACUCUUUCCAGGGCCAGCAGUGACAGAUGGACAACCUGAAGGAGGGUGGCAGCAUCUGCUGGGGAGUCUUUAGGAGUGCCCCCUGCUGUGAUACGCUGCUUUCUGUAUCCUGAGGACUCAAACCUUCUUACUGCUUUGUGUUCUGCUGGGAAAGUGCCCUGCCCUGCUGGGACAGGGACAAAACCCAGUCCCUGAGAAUGAGUCUGCCUGGAGAAAUUUCAGGAGCUGGCAGAGGGCCUGACUGCUUUAGCAGGGGGUGGAUCCACCCAGCUGCACUGGCCUUGCUGGGGAGGUAGAAGAGAAUGGUGGAGCACGAGCAGCUGGAGGGCUCAUCAGCAACUAUAUGAAGGGGCAGGGCGUGUAAAUUGCAAUUGCAGCUGCUCAGACAUCCCCUCAAGUGAACUUGGGGGGGAGGAGGUGCUGAAUGGAAGGAAAGAGCCUGAAGCAGAGUACACUCUGUUCCACCUCCAUGUGUUAGCAGAGAUGAGCUGCCUACUUUACCCUAAUGGUACAUUAUGGGGAUUAUUUCUUGACUGCCUUAAAGAAAUGAAGUAAACAAGAUUCCUUGCUGUGAAGCCAGGUUUGCAGCUGUGAGUUUAUCCCCAGUAUGUUUGGCAAGGUGGGGAUGUCUGUGGAUAGUGUUGUACAGAGGCUGCUCUAGGAGUUCCUUCUUGCUGGAGGACAGGCCCUGAUGUUUCCUUUGGUUUUCCCCUCUGUAGAAGCUACUGCUUGGUCAGCACAAUGACCAGGAGGGAUGUGGGGAGAUGAUGGAGAGGCCCUGCUUGCCUCAGCUGAUGACACUGUUCUUCUUCCCCUGUGACAUGCUUGUUCACUAGGGCCAUGUGGAACUCUGUUGCAACUGUCUGAACUGGAAACGUGACAGCUUCCUUCUCCCCUUAGUUUGUGGGACAGUGACAGUGGGGCGACUGGUCACGUAAUUGAUUAGUUUGAAACCUGUCUCAGAAUUCUGAACAAAUGCUAAUCCUGCAAAGUGAACAUCUGGGGAAGGAUAGGAAUGUGGCUGGAGCUUCAGAGCUGUCCCAGCACAGCCUAGCAAAGGGCAGGCUGUGUGUGGGGAUAGUGUGGCAUCACUCACUCCAUGCUGUGAGAUGUGUCUAAUGAGCUGCUACGUGGGCCCCUGUGCCUUUAAAGGGCAACCAAAAGGAGACGGUGAGAACAGUGUGGUGGAACUGGGGGCAGAGAUGAUGCUCAAUGUUCCUGUGAUGCUAGCACUCUGUGGAGACACUCAUACCACAUCAAAAGGGGCAGAGCAGCAGGAGCUGCUGGGACUGUCCAUGUGUAUGGAGGGGGUGAAUGGUGAUGUCAGUGACUAUAAUGUCAUUUGGGACAUUUUUUCAUCUCUGACUCAUUCUGUGCAGGAGUUUCACCCUUGCAAUCUAACUUUGAAUCUGAUAUUUAUUCCACCCACAGCCCUGUUCUCUCUAUUGCUUGCAUGCUACCCGUAUGUGGGGGAGAAUUAUUUUUUUUAAAAGCUCACCCCUGGCCUGGUUGGCAUCAUGGCCUUUGGCUGGGCAGCCACAGUGCUGAGUGCUUGCUUGUGGAAACCUGCAGUACCACAGCCCUCAGAUGCUGCUUGUUGGCUUACAUCAGCAAGGUGGCUGCAAAUGUUGCUAAGCAACUGCAUAUAUAAAUACUUUUACACCCCAAAUUUGCUGUGUCUGGUAACCCCUGUGGUGCAUCACUGCUCUUUUGCUGCAAGGGUGUGUUUGUUUUGGGUGCUGCUAGGAGAGGGGCCGUGUUGUCACCUCGGGCUUCUUGGCCCAUCCCCUCAAGCUGGGCAGACCACGUUUCUCUAAGUCGCCAUAGGGAGGCUGGAGCUAUGGCAUGAGCAGGGAGAUACUGGCCUGUGCAGCUCAGGAGUGAGGAGACCCUAUGUUGACUGCAUUAUUUCUAACUAUGCAUUCACUGCAGUGCAGACUGCUGCCUGGUAACCAUUCUCCUGUUUUCUUAGAAGCAAGAAGAGCAUACAUGGGGCUGCUGAAGGAUGGGAAGUGGCUAACCAAAAUUAAGGCAACUGUAGCCUCCUAACUGUGCUAUUUCCUACAUGCCUAGCUGCAAACUCAGUCUUUCUGGAGACUGCAGUGUUUGUUUACCAGAGAGCAGCUACUGCUUUAGUAGUGAGUCCCAUAUGCUCUUCUCACAGGGUCUCCUCUGAGCAGACAUUCCCUGUGCCUCCCUGUUUUCACAAGCCCUCCUGCUUUUUCCAUCCCCACCAUCCAUAGGACAGUCUGUUGUAUGGUGGCCUCCCAAGAGGAGGACAGGCGUGCAGAUGUGAGUCCUGGAGAGGCCUUCAUGGUGGCUGGUGGAGGAGGAUGCUUCCUCAGCCUACCACAGGGCUGAUGUUCUUUCAUGAAGCUGUUCUGUCCUGGAUGGAUCUCCCCAGCCUCUUCAAGAGUGUGUAUGUUAAUAAGAGUCACUAAUAUCCUUCUGAAGAAAUUAUAGAGUAAGGAGCUAAUUUUCUUCUUUACAUUCAACUAUAUUAGGUCAGUCCUGUGAUGGGAACAUACCUUGAGGUAUUUCUACACACAUCUAAACAAAAACAGCAAGGAAACACUCUGAGCAUGAGUGGAAAACAGUGGAAGGCAAAAUCCAGUGGCUCCAACUCCCACAGAGGCAGCUGAGAGUGUGUACCCAGUGCAUGUCUAAGGAGGAAAAUACCAGGGGUACCAUUUGCAAAGCUGGAGAGCAGAUGGAUGUGCUGGGGCUGGCUGUGUCCAGCAGCACAGCCUGAAGUUGAGGCGAGAGAAGCUGGUGCUCAUUUCUUGCCACUAACUACUGGAAGAACCUGACUGAGCUGUGUAAAGAUCAGCUAAAUCAAGGGUUUACUCCUUAAGGACUUGUGGCUGAGGCUUACUCUUCUGAAGGGUUUUCACUUCCAUGUCAUGAUGCUAAUGCCAUCUUGUGUGGCAGGUGUUAUGCUGAAACCAGUCUCUUCUCCCAUAUCCAGAAUAGGAGUGUAGCAAGUCCCACCAUGAUUUUCACCCUCCUUGUGACACCCCCUGGUGCGACAUGAGAAGCCUGAAAUUAGCAGGGUUUUCAAUUAAGGACAUGGGAUUUUCCUCAUGCCAUUAGAGAAGCAACUGAACAGAUGCUCCUUGGGGAAAUAAACACAUUUGCACAGCACAAGAGCUGUUUUCUGUCCCACAGAGGAGCUGGGCUUGCCCAGAGUUAACUUCAAGAGACUCUCCAGCCACAUGGACUCUGCUCCCAGGACAAGGGACAGCCUGAAGUUUGCAUCCUUUCCCCUUGUCCUCGUGCCAGCAGGGGUCCACAGAGCUGCCUACUGCAGGACUCAGUCUCCUGCUGGGAACAAGUGAGUUCUGGUUCUAUUUCUUCACUUUGCUGUGUCCUAAGCAUGGCUUUGUGCUGUUCUGGGAUGAUUCCCAGUGAGGACCAGCAGCGUUGCCCAGCUCAGAGAAGAAAUCAGCUAAGUUUUAAGCCAGUUUCGGUGAGAGGAAAAGAAGCCUCCGGAGGCUCAGGCAGUUUCCUAACUAUCUUCUGAUGCCGGGAGUCGGUGACCUGCGGAGCAGAUUGGCAGCGACAGGUAAAAGACGUCAACGGAGACCGUGAGCCGUUCAGACCGCGGGCUGCUCCUGGCUGCACCACUGCUGCCCUCUAGUGCUGCCAGAAUCUGUGCCUCUGCCAGUUCCCGGCCAGACUGGUGUGAUGGUUGGGGGCCUGGUGAGUGGGCCAUGGUAGCUUGCUGCAACAGGGGAGGCUGCUGGAAAUCUGGAAUCUGGAAUCCAGGGACUCUGCCUGGUACUGUGUGCUGGGCUCAUGAUACUUAACCUCUCCAAACUGCUGCUCCAAAGGCCUUAGUGGUGUUAAGGAUGCCAAUACGCUGAGGAUGAGAGGCUGGUGGGAAAAUCCCAGUAAAGCCUGGUGCUGCAAAUCCUACACAGCAGCCACCAGCGAGUAAGAAAGUGCCACUACAUCACAGCACUCAGCCCUCAGAGAUGGAAAGGAGAGAAGUGUGGAGAAGGCACAACCCCAGGACAUGUCAGGAGCGGCAGGAGCCCGCCAUUGUCAUGGCACUGAGACAGCCUAGGGAUCUGGGGUCCCUGCCUGGACCUCCAGGCAGGAUCUCUAUUCUCUGCCUGCUGGCUGCAGAGCCAUGCUGGGAGAUGUGUCCAUGCAGGUCAGCCAUUCCCUGGGAGCCCUGAGCUGAAAGGAAACUGGAUUUUAGCCCCCAGAGCCAAGAUGACUAUCUGAGAGGGUCAGGGUGGGGACAGAAUUGCAGAAUAUCACGAGCUGGAGAGUUCCUACAGGGAUCAGUGAGCCUGACUCCUGGCUCCACAUAGGACCACACAAAAAUUGGACCAUGUGUCUGAGAGCAUUGUCCAGACACUGCCCCAGCUCAGUACCCUUUCCACGUGCAGAAGGGAUGAGGGCUGCUGGGCAUAGGGCAUCCUGUGCAGCAGCACUCAUGACAGCUGGGCAGCAUUACACAGCACGUCCAUCCCAGCAUCUGACAUUCCAAUCCUAGCCACGAAUCACCACCUCGAACUGCUAGCUGAAAAAGCCAAGACACGGGUCUGGGGAUCCUCUGGGCACAGAAAGGGCUAGCAUCUUUUAUAAACAUUUAACGGAUCUAAAAGGAAAGGGCUUCCGACGCUUCCCCACUCGGCCGCCCAAACCCAAGAUGGCGCUUCCCCACCCAGCCGCCCACACCUAAGAUGGCGCCUCCCAGACGUACCCGCACUGAGAGCCCCGCCCCGCCCCGCCCCCUAGCCAUCCGUUCCGGCUGGACAUGGCGGAGCGCGCGGACCGGAAGGGGGGGGUGGGAGUUUGUGACGUCACACGGCAGCGCCGCGGGUGGAGCCUCCCGUCGCGCGGAGCGCCGGAGGAGGGAAUAAAACAGUUCAAGGGAAGCUCAGAAGGCUGUGUGUUAUUCAAAGUGCUACUGAUAGUGCUGCUGAUGAAGCAGGAAUCCUGCAGGCCUCUGCUUUUCUCAGUGACUUGAAGUGUAGGGGAGGAGAAGCCAGUGUCAGUCUCCAAGGCAGUGAGCUGCAUACAUAAGUGGGACAUCUUGCGCUUGGACCUCAGCAGCAGCAGGAGGAUUCUACUCCGUUCUCUGAAAGGACACAGCAAAUA